UGCAGAGGGGGCAAGCGUUAUUCGGAAUUAUUGGGCGUAAAGGGCGCGUAGGCGGCUUGGCAAGUGGAUGGUGAAAUCCCUCGGCUUAACCGAGGAACGGCCGUCCAAACUGCUUCGCUUGAGACCGGGAGAGGUGAGUGGAAUUCCCAGUGUAGCGGUGAAAUGCGUAGAUAUUGGGAGGAACACCAGUGGCGAAGGCGGCUCACUGGACCGGUACUGACGCUGAAGCGCGAAAGCGUGGGGAGCAAACGGG
rnacentral:rRNA from 1 species